rnacentral:rRNA from 1 species
GACGUAGGGGGCAAGCGUUAUUCGGAAUUAUUGGGCGUAAAGCGCUCGUAGGCGGGACUGGAAGUCCGUGUUGAAAGACCUCGGCUCAACUGAGGGACCGGCUCGGAUACUCUAGUUCUUGAGGCAAUCAGAGGGUGAUGGAAUUCUCGGUGUAGCAGUGAAAUGCGUAGAUAUCGAGAGGAACACCAGUGGCGAAGGCGAGUCCCUGGACAGGUCCUGACGCUGAGGCACGAAAGCUAGGGGAGCAAACAGG